AAUCCAUGUAUCAGACACUUUCGAAUUAAGUCUUUAAAUCACUCCUAAGCUUCAUAUAGCGUUUCAUCAUCCAAUUUUCAAAGAGAUAUGAUGUCAUUUCUAAGCUU
rfam:Gossypium hirsutum cultivar TM-1 unplaced genomic scaffold scaffold3592.1, whole genome shotgun sequence